rnacentral:lncRNA from 1 species
GGCGCCAUUUUCGAGUGAUGCCUGAUCUCAUCAAUCUAGCGGGAGAGACAGGAUAACCUGUCCGAGAGUAUAGCGCCACUGUGACUCCGCCGGAAAAAUUACUUUAAAAAUCACCAAAAAUUACUUGGAGCAAAGGGCAGUCGGCGGAGCUUCGCCAAGGCUGGCGCAGUCGGUUUUGACCUGUAGCAGAGAACCAAUUCUGGAGAACAGCCUCACUUCUUUGAUUGAAUACUCACAUAAUGCAUUGGAACAUGACAUGAGAUUAAGGUUUAAUAAUGAUAGAAUGAAGACCAUAAUAAAAGAGAUCUCUACUUAGCUCAGCAAUUCUUACCUUGUGUAAAUUUUGAUACCACCAUUGCCGCCCUCCCCUCAAAAAAGGUGAGAACUGACUAAACUACUGGUACUUAGACCAUGUACAGAAGGAACUGAAAAUGGAAACAGAAACACGUCUGUACAGAGCAGAGUGUCAGACAAUAGCUCACUUUAGUAGAGGGCAAUAAAUGCCACAUGAGAUGAUCACCUCAGCAGAAAACUGUAAGUAACGGGGACUUGCAGGAGAAUUGAACAGUUGUUUCUGCUGACUCAGUAAAAAUGUCUUCAUUUUAUAAUUUGUGGCCUGCAUGCUUGUAAAUUAAGAUGCAUUGAGUUGUCAAGUAAUGGACUUGUCUGGUUUGUAGGUAGGAAUUUAAGCCAAAAUUGAAUGCAACAUUCCCCCAGAAGUAACCUGGGAUCUGUGCCAUAAAGCCUAAGGCAAAGGUUACAUGAAUUUGGAUUACUAGGUUAGAACUAGGCUAUUGAGCCUUUGCCUAGAAAACCAAUUAGAGGAUUUUAGUCUUGAUAUAGGAGGGAAUAGGGAGGCAUUAUAGCCUAUUGAUUUGUUUGGAAUUAAGUGUGGCAAUACUAUAUAUAGAAAUGUCUAAGAAAUAAAGUAUGGUAGCAAGGAAACUGGGCAUGUGACUAUUGUAGUAAUCUAGGGGUGAAGAAAACCUGAACAGCAAUAGUGGCAUGAGAAUGGAGGUGAAAGAAUAAAUUUAAGAUAUUUCAAAGGAAAAAAAUUGUUGAAUAUCAUGAUGGGUUGGAUAAAAGGGAGGUGUAAAAGAUUAUACAUUUUCUGUAAUGGAAGACAAUGGAGUUAUCACUGAAAGAAAGGAGAUAGUUAAGAAACUAAUUUAAGGCUGGGUGCGGUGGCUCAUGCCUGUAAUCUUAACACUUGGGGAAGCAGAGGUGGGUGAAUCACUUGAGGUCAGGAGUUCAAGACCAGCCUGGCCAACAUGGUGAAACCCCACCUCUACUAAAAAUACAAAAAUCAGUCAGACGUGGUGGCUCAUGCCUGUAAUCCCAGCUACUCAGGAGACUGAGGCAGGAGAAUCACUUGAACCUGGGCAGUGGAGACUGCAGUGAGGCAAGAUCAUGCCACUGCACUCAAGCCUGGGUGAUAGAGUGACUCUGUCAAAAAAAAGAAAAGAAAAGAAACUAGUUUAAGAGGGGGAAAAUGUGUUCCAUUUCUGCAAUAUAUUUAAGGUGAUAUUUAGACAUUAAGCUUGAAACGUCUUCAUUUAAGGUCGCUGGAUAUACAGAACUGGAAUUCUAUGUAAAAGUCAGGCUGGAGAGGUAAAUUUGGCAGUUACAUAAGGCUGAUAAGGGUAGAAAAGCUCACUGAAGCUCUUUUUAUGAAGGACAGUGGGUCCCUUUUACAAAAAUAUAUGAACACAUUUAUGUAAAUAAACUAUCAUUAGGUAUGUAAUCUUAAACAUUUCUAGAAUUGAAUAAGAACUCUCCCUUUUUUCCUUAGAGUGUCGUAUCUCAAGCCUGUGCCUGUUAGAAAACCCCUACACUUACAUCAAUUAUGAGAGUCAAUGACUGAAAUGUGUUAAUACUCUUGAAUCUUUCCUUCUCUUAAUAAAACCAAGAUCUUUCCCAGUUUUAGGCUAAGGGAAUGAAAUUGAGAACUUAAACUCAAAUAAUUCAGUCAGUUAAAACUUUAUAAAAUUGACAUGGCUUUAAUUUCUCAAAUGGAAAGCAAGUAAUUGAAUUGGGGGAAGUGUGCUAGUCUCCAGUUUCAAGAAACAGUACGGCACAAAGACCUGGCAUUCUAGCUGAAGAGCUGUAAUAAUAAACAGAAAUUUGAAAACCAGGAAGACAAGUUUUCCAAGAGUGCAACUGUGGCAUUUCAAAGAAGAUUUAACAAGAAAUUCCGGAAGAUGGCCAAAAAUAGGUUUAGAUAAUUGAGAUUCUCUAUUUGAAUACUUGUUUUUGAUGGAGAAACACACUUAAGAGGAAAUGAAGGUUCUGUCUAAGAUCUGAAACUUUUUCUCACCCUAAAGCAGGUUUGCUUCUGAAGAAAACUAUUAGCAAAAAAAAAAAAAAAAAAA